CAUCAGCCGUACGAUAACAGAACUCAUCGGUGUCGUAACCCUGACCGUUGAUCUCACCGACAUGUACCAGAUUGUAACGUUGAUGUAGAUGUCUUCGUAACCCCAAAGAGAAGAAAACAUAGUUUGUAUACUUGGAGAGACAGAGAGAGAUGUACGUACAUAGAAUAAAAAGGCAUCAAAGAAAGACAUCUUGGAAACAACAUGGUGAAGCUGAGGAUGAAGAAACCAUGAAGAAGAUGGAGAGAAACCCAUUUUUUUUUUUGCCUUGAUUGUGUUUUUCUAUUUUUUUCUUUUCUAUCUCCCUAUCCGUCUUUGGAUCAUGUAUUUGCUUUAUGCUUUAAAUGAUAGUCACACAAUUGUAAUGGUUGUAUUCACACGAUUACUCUCAUGUAUUUAUAUAAACCCACACGCAUA